rnacentral:rRNA from 1 species
CAACCCUCGAACCCCUCCGGGGGGUCGGCGUUGGGGAUCGGCCCCUCACCGGGCCGCCCCCGAAAUCCAGUGGCGGUCUCGCCGCAGCCUCUCCUGCGCAGUAGUUUGCACACUCGCACCGGGAGCGCGGCGCGGCCACAGCCGUAAAACACCCCAAACUCUGAAAUG